rnacentral:tRNA from 1 species
GUGGGUAUCGCCAAGCGGUUAAGGCUCCGGAUUGUGGUUCCGGCAUUCGUGGGUUCGAAUCCCAUUACCCACCCCA